GGGACCCGCACAAGCAGCGGAGCGUGUGGUUUAAUCGAGCUACACGAAGAACCUUACCAGGGUUUGACAUGCAAGUGGUAGGAAUCCGAAAGGUGACCGACCCUUCGGGGAGCUUGCACAGGUGCUGCAUGGCUGUCGUCAGCUCGUGUCGUGAGACGUUCGGUUAAGUCCGCUAACGAGCGCAACCCUCGUCGUGUGUUAUACGUGUCACACGAUACUGCCGGUAUCAAGCCGGAGGAAGGUGGGGAUGAUGUCAAGUCAGCAUGGCCUUUAUAUCCUGGGCUACACACACGCUACAAUGGCAGAUACAAUAGGUUGCGAAACCGCGAGGUGGAGCCAAUCCUCAAAGUCUGUCUCAGUUCAGAUUGUAGGCUGCAACUCGCCUGCAUGAAGUUGGAGUUGCUAGUAACCGCAGGUCAGCAAUACUGCGGUGAAUACGUUCCCGGGUCUU
rnacentral:rRNA from 1 species